rnacentral:rRNA from 1 species
UACGGAGGGUGCAAGCGUUAUCCGGAUUCACUGGGUUUAAAGGGUGCGUAGGUGGGUUUGUAAGUCAGUGGUGAAAUCUCCGUGCUUAACCCGGAAAGGUCAACUGAUACUGCAGGGCUAGAGUGCAGAAGGGGCAACUGGAAUUCUCGGUGUAGCGGUGAAAUGCGUAGAUAUCGAGAGGAACACCUGCGGCGAAGGCGGGUUGCUGGGCUGACACUGACGCUGAUGUGCGAAAGCUAGGGAGCGAACGGG